GAUGAACGCUGGCGGCGUGCCUAAUACAUGCGAGUCGAGCGAACAGACGAGGAGCUUGCUCCUCUGACGUUAGCGGCGGACGGGUGAGUAACACGUGGAUAACCUACCUAUAAGACUGGGAUAACUUCGGGAAACCGGAGCUAAUACCGGAUAAUAUAUUGAACCGCAUGGUUCAAUAGUGAAAGACGGUUUUGCUGUCACUUAUAGAUGGAUCCGCGCCGCAUUAGCUAGUUGGUAAGGUAACGGCUUACCAAGGCAACGAUGCGUAGCCGACCUGAGAGGGUGAUCGGCCACACUGGAACUGAGACACGGUCCAGACUCCUACGGGAAGCAGCAGUAGGGAAUCUUCCGCAAUGGGCGAAAGCCUGACGGAGCAACGCCGCGUGAGUGAUGAAGGUCUUCGGAUCGUAAAACUCUGUUAUUAGGGAAGAACAAAUGUGUAAGUAACUAUGCACGUCUUGACGGUACCUAAUCAGAAAGCCACGGCUAACUACGUG
rnacentral:rRNA from 1 species